rnacentral:rRNA from 1 species
UACGUAGGGUGCAAGCGUUAUCCGGAUUCACUGGGUUUAAAGGGUGCGUAGGUGGGUCUGUAAGUCCGUGGUGAAAAUCUCCAAGCUUAACUUGGAAACUGCCAUGGAUACUAUAGUUCUUGAAUACCGUGGAGGUGAGCGGAAUAUGUCAUGUAGCGGUGAAAUGCUUAGAUAUGACAUAGAACACCAAUUGCGAAGGCAGCUCACUACACGAAUAUUGACACUGAGGCACGAAAGCGUGGGGAUCAAACAGG